UGCAAACUCGACCCGUAAUGUCGAAUGUUGUCUGAUUUGAGCGACUAGGAAACGUCCUGGUCCUGCUGUGCGUUGUGAAGCCGUACGGCACUGCACAGUAAUGCGCGGUAUGCGACGCGAUGUGAAAUGCGCCUUGUUGUUUCAUGGGAACCAUGCGUGAUUUGUCAAACCGAGUAUGAGUGCGCGCGUGCGGAGUUUAAACGCCCGUGGGAGUGCGUCACCUUGCUUAGCACACUGUUGGGUUGCUCUAUGUGGCUUUAGUGAACGUGGGAGUACCCGUGCUUUGCAUUUGAUUGCGUUGCUGGGUAAACGGAUCUGUUUGGACUGCUGGCUAUGAGUAGGGUUAGUUGUCGACGGAUUGUCCGCGUGGGAGUGUUGUAAACUGAGGUGUUCUACGCUAGUUCGUCCAAUCCUGUCGACACCUGAGGCGAUACUGUUAAGGUAGUUGUCGUGGUACGAGUUCAUCUCUUGAUCUCUGCUGAAGUAAGUUGCUAUGGCUGUUCUGUCUUAGUUCUAUUUUUAUACCUUCUUUGGUCACAGAGUUAAUACUCUACCAAUGUAACAGUUUACUGUUUCCCUACUUGUCAGUCCCUUAUGUCUGGUCCAAUUCGCCGUUUACAACAGGGCCCCCGCCUGCUACUUCCGUAUUGUUUUUUUAUCAAUUUGCUUUGCGUCGCACGAGCACAGACUGGUUUGUUACUUUCUGCUAUACGACGACUGUUGGACAUGCUUUCGUUGUCUGUAUCGUGCUAUCGUUACAAUAUACGUUGGUAAAGUAUAUGCAACGCACUUUUCGGCUGGCCAUUAAGUGUCCGUAUCAGCGAUGUCAUGUUUGGCAGUUCACUCAUUUGGUUGACGCGGCGGAUGGUAUUGUUUGGUGCGCAACUGAUGUUUGCAAGUUAUGCUGUUGGUGUGUGCGGUGUUAUGAGUGUUGUUGCAUUGCCAUCCGUCUAAUUUGAACGCACGAAGUGUUGGCGGCGUUCAUAGAUUUUUGUAAGAUGGCUUUGUAUGUUUGCUUGCGUCUCUGGGUAUUGCAAUUCGGCUGUUUAUGACUUGUGUGUUUGCGGUGCGUGUAUAGGAUGGGUGGUUCUUCGUCGAAUGUCAGGCGUGUUUCAGCGCGGAGGUCAGUGAGGUAUUCUUAUAUGCGCUGCACAGCAGUCUUGUGGAAGUCCAAUUUAUGUUUUGGUGUACUGUGCGGGGUGAUGACAUUUCGCCCGGGUGUGCAUGCUUGGUCGUGCUGUCCGUGAGGGCACACUUGGUUUGGAUGGGCGCACCAGCAUAUUCGUGCGUGCAUGAUGCAGCAUACGCGUUAGUUGUUGUUGAAAGACACAUACAUUUUCCUGUUACAGUUAAUGCGAGAUUCACGGCACGAAGAAGACCAUCAAGAAGAAGACGACCAGCAAUAAGAUCACCAUGGAAGAAGACCAACAGCAUCGGGGAGAGAGAUACAGCAACUAGGACAGCGCGAGCCUCCACCUACAACGAGCUGACGGCGCGCAGGCCGGCUGGCGGACAGGCCAUGCCGAACAACAAGGACAAGACAAGCUGACCCAUUUCAUGUAUGCAAUACAUGGUGGCCAUGAGGGCACGGGCCAUUGCUAAACAUUUAGGUAUAGCUAAACAAUUACACACUGGGCUAACUAACCGCAACUAGCCCACCUUCGUCGACACAAAUUUGCAUUAAAAUCACGCAUGCUUGAUGGUUUCAGGAUUCAGUUUACAUGUGACGUUUGGUAAUGGAUAGUUCAUGUAUGGUCAUUUUGGUAGUCAUGUAAUUUGCAGUUUGCAUUGCAGCAGCGUAGCAGCGUGAGAUGGGUCCGUGAGAAUGGGGACACGCAUUAAGCACACAGCACGAUUGCCAUUUGCAUGAUAGGUUGGCCAGUCCUGCAAUGCAAUCGGCAAUCAUGCACCGCCGCAGUCAAGAUUGCAUGCCUGUUGAGUUGGCCAGACUCGCAGUGCAUUCAUGUCUCGACUGCUGAGCAUGCUUAUGCAAGUGUGCAGCAUUACCUCAUCAUGAAGUUCGCGUAUGUCAAAUGCAUGUCAUGCACUAGUGCGUGUUGCUUGAAGGGUCCGCUCUUGCAUGAGUUGAAUGCCCGCCAAACGACCUGUUGCAGACUGUUCAUGGCGACUAUGCAUUAACACAUCACAUAUACAAGUUACAAGUACCGCACGAGUGCGGGGGGGUCCGUCAAAGCCGGGAGGCCAUGGACUAUAUAUAUUGAAUAGUUGAUUACACCGUACGGCCGACGGCGGUUUGGGUCCUGCCAACUAGACCCCUCCUCAUCCAGUCACCCAACAUCCGUAGAGACAGAUCAGCCACCACCACCAUCUCAGCAUGCGAAACUUAGUCCAUCAACUAGACCUCAUCUCCACACCUCAGCAGCGUUAGUUAACCUAAACCUCCCGAACAAUGUCGGAGGUCUGACAAGGAAUCGAACCCGGAAACCCCAUAUACACAUAUGCGCCACCAGACCAGACCAAUAUGCGCAUCACAGAGUCCCAACCUUUUCAACGAAUCUUCCGAAUACUUUUGCUACAUUAAUGGACUGCAUGCAUGCAAUUCCUGCCCCAAUACAUGCAACAGUCAGACACUCUACACUGACAGCAAUACAAAGCUACUUUUCGGCCCGGCAUCAUUGUGCAUGCACUUCUGUCACAUUUGCUCUAUUUUUACACUGUCUGUGGCGCAUUUGCCGCUGCAGCAACACCACCAGCUCCAUCUUGGAAUGGUCCGCCACCCUUGUCUUGUACGUUGUUGCAUAGUGGUUAGCUUAGCCAUUUGCAUUGUUGCUGCCGCCAUUCGUUUCACAAUGAGUGUUGAGGCUUGCUCCAAUGUCAUGACGAUUAUGCUAUGGCGGCUGCAUGCUUGCGACGAUCCAGAUAGGUCUACGCCGCCGUAGCAAGUCUGCCGACCUUUAUUGUUUGAGGAUUUCACUACCUAAGUCUGUACAAACGGCGGCGUUCUUGUGCUUGCACUCCUAUGCCGUACGGACUGGCCUGCGAAUCAAACGGGGGUCAAGUGGCUGCACCAGGGCCGAGCCCUUUUUCGGCUUUGAAAAGCCGCCCCCCUAGUCUAUGAGUACCCUUUGGCCUUGCAUUGCUUUGUAGAGGUAAGCUACAUCGUUGGGCGCCUGUUUCCUUUGUGAAGCUUGUCAGCUGCUGGAAUGUGUUGCAGUUGUCCCUCAAAGUGGAUGUGCCAUGUCUUGGUUUUACUUGUUGAAUUUUUCGUUUGUGCCAGCAAUGUGCCAUGAUUUUCUGGGUGCAACGAACUUUUGGGACGGCAUGACCACACACGCUGCAAAAGUGCCAUUGUGUGUAACGACGCAAGGCCCAUCUGAGCAUCCCGGGUUACGCCUUUGCUUUGUUACAUUAUGGGCUCGCUUGGAGGCGCCACCCUGAUCACAUUGAGUGCGUCAAUCCACGCCUGAUUUGCGGGAUUCUGUCAACGAUUUGUUCUUAAGUUGAAUUUCCUGAAACAUGUGCCACAUGGCCCACCAUUAUGGCUGGUGUAUGCAUGCAUCUUCGUCACAGGUUCUGUCACACAUGGCGGCCAGCUGGUGCUUGUCACCGCCAAGCAGGAUUAUCUUUCCCGCAAAAGGCAGCAUGGUGGGUACGUUAGGGCAAGCAUCCAGGCAGCGUUGGUGCAGCUGCUGCAGGAAGGCGGCCUUGGCCAUGAUGAUUUCAUCCAGACAAAUGACGUCAGCCAUGGCCAAGAACAUGAGCAUGUAUCGGUUGUUCAGGGGUAUCCAUUGGCUGCCUUGAAAGCCAAACGCGAAUGUGCUGUCGUUGCUCCCAUGCCCAGGAACUUUGCUGUCACAGGUUGUGGAUAUUGAGCAGCUGCACAUACUGCCUGUCGACAUCCAACUAACACCACACAUGUUCAAGGCUUAUGUACCCCCUUUAACACCAUGCUUCAAACUACUGCUGAGCCUGCUUAUGUUAUUGCAGCUACUGUCGUACUGCCUCUUACAAACUAUGUUCUACCUUAGACACCUGUCCCACAUCCCACCUGCAAUGUCAUCAACCGCCACCCCUUUAACAGCAGCUGCAAGUCAUCAGUCCCAGGCACAAGCCAUGGGAUUAACCGUCCAGCAGUACCAAAGCCUUGGUCUUCACACACCGUCGCCCACCAGCAUCACAACACAAUGUCGCGCCACCUGACGCCCCGAUGACGAACGAACCCCAAAACAAGAGGCAUACCUUAAUGAUAUGUCCAUCAUGCCAUGUGACUGGCCUACCACAAUCGGAGAAUGCUCAAGACUCCUAAGCAACAGGUCAGCAGAAAAUGAAGACUUCAAGAACAAAUACAAUGAAAAACCUGCAUCAGGCAGGCAGCGUGCAGCUCUUCACUCGCGGGGAUCAUCCAUGGAAGAAAUAGACAAACUUACCAAAAGCCAGGCCAGCAAGCUCAUGGACAGUCAUGCAGCAGGAGAACAGGCCACUGCAACACAGCUUGCUCAGUUGCAAAGGCUCAAUGUACAGCUGCCGCAGCAACCACUAUUCAAGAGGGAUGCGUCGGCACUCAUUUCACAAAACUCCGUCAAAGCACAGGCUGCAACGCCAUCACGAAACGCCAUCUCCUCAAGAAACUGACACGGGUCAACGAAUCACAGAUGAGCAGCUGGACGUCAUGAGGCUGGCGCAAGCCUCAACACUCAUCGCCGCACUCACAUCGAAGCGCAACAACGGUGGCCACAAGACAAAUAGCAAAAUUAACCACUACGAUGACAACCUACAAGGCAAAGGUGGUGGACCAUCCCAAAAUGGUGCUGGUGGUGCUUCUGCAGCGGCAAAUGCGUCACAAACAGCGUAGAGAUUUAACAGUUGAGACAGACGUACAUGUGCAAUGAUGCUGGGCCAAAAAAUAGCUAUGUAUUCCUGCCGGUGUAGAGUGCUUAUUGGUUGAUGAUUGAGUGAGCGGCUGCUGCCGUAUGCAUGCAUGUCUUGCGACAGCAGUUGCAUGAAUGCAAUCCUAUAUGCACCAUUCGGAAGCUUCGUUGAAUGGUUUGGGACUCUGUGAUGAUUACUUGAUGCAUAGUCGCCAUAACGACACUGCUACAUGUGGUUUGGUGGGUAGUCAACGCAUGCAAGUAUGGCUACUUUACACACGCACUGGUGCAUGAUGUGCAUUUCACAUACGAGGACUUCGUGAAGUUAUGGUGCGCACCUGCAUAAGCAUGCACAGCAGUCAAGAGAAGAAUGAACUGCGAGUCUGGCCAACUCAACAGGCAUGCAAUCUUGACUGCGGUGGUGCACGAUUGCCUAUUGCAUUGCAGGACUUCUGCUUCACGGUCUUUCUUCGACCGGAGAAUCUCGCGUUACCUGUAACAGCAAAUGGCAUGUGCCUUUCGACAACAUCUCAUAUGUCUGCUGCAGCACACAUGCACGAAUAUGCUGGUGCGACCAUCCAAACAAACUGUGCCGUCACCGACAACACCACCAAGCAUACGCAACCGAGCGAAAUGUCAUCAUCCCGCAAAUUGACCAAAAACCUAAAUUUUACGCCUCUGGACGCACAACGUCCAAAUUGGACGGACGGCACACACUUAAUAGCCAGCCGAAAAGUGCGUUGCACAUACUUUACCAGCGAAUAUUGACACGAUACCAUUUAUAUCACACACUGUAAGCACAUCCAACGAGUCGUUGUAUAGCAAAUGCAAAAACCAGUCUAUGCUCGUGCGACGCAAAGCAAACUAUUAAAAAAUGAUACAGAAGUAGCAGGCGGGGGCCAAUAACCAUUUACCCUGCCUUUAUUACGUUCGAUUACGUUCGCUAGUCAUUUUCAUCCUUGUGUACAAGCACCCGUAGGGAGAGACUCGCUAGUCAUUUUCAUCCGUGUCGUACAGGCACCCCUAGGGAGAGUCUCGCUAGUCAUUUUCGAACUACAAAUCCGUAAUCUCUGUCGUAAAAGGCACUUGUCGGAGAUUCUCCCUAGUCAUUUUCGCGCGCUUCGGUAUUAGUAGUACGAAGUCGCCGAGCUUAUUACUAUGCCUUGCAACCCUCUGUGAAUACGCCUCCGACGAACUUGGCCCCCAGUAGGGACUGCAGGAUACACACAGACGUUCUUCUCAGACGUUCACGACGGUCUUGUUCACAGUGUCCCAAACUCUGCCUUGGAAAACGCCCACCUCGUUUUAGCGCAAGCCAGUAACAGCCCGACGACCUUUUGUUAACUUUUCCAUUAUGGCAUCUUUUGGCGCAUACGAUGGUGCCGUGUAUGUGGAUGUGCGUGGGCCAGACAAGGUAAGAACGGGGUUGGACUGGCGGAGUGCACCAUAGGUUCACUUCUCUCCUCAAUUACACCAAGUCGCUUUCCAUGCCUGUUUCAUGACGAUAUUAAAUAAUAGGAUUUAAUAGGAUAUCCGCAAUGGUUGACGAGUCGAAAUGCACGGGCCGGGUGAAGUCCAAGACCCACAUCGAGAGCUUGCAUUGGCAGCACCUGUUGCACUGCCGCUGCAAUAUGGCGGCCUGUGUCUGUUCAUCCAAAGCAAUACAUAGGAAUGGUACAUGCCAGAUUUCAUCUUGGACCUGGUGCACGAGCUUUUUGCACCGGGCUGCAUCGACCUGGAUCCGUGUUCUUGUGCUGCUGCAAACACGCGGGUCCGGCCACUUCCAUAUACGAUGAGGCGACGGAUGGACUGGCAGAGGGCAAUGCAUGACGAUGAAAUGUGAUUCUCAACUUGCUUUUGGUGUACGGAAAGGACACACAGCCUCCAAGGGCUACUUUUUGCGAGAUGUGUGUGGGAGUAUCAGGCGGGGAACGUGAGGCAGGCCGUGGUGCUAUUGAAGGCAGGUUUAGGCUACAGCUGGUUCAAUGAUGUGCUGAACUGGCUAGUGUGCUUUCUCCAGGAGCGCCUUUCGUUUGUCCAGCAGGUGGGCACUAGUGAUGAGCUUCAAUGGGGAGCCCGUGCACAGAAUCCACACGGCAGUGUCAUUGCCUAUAUGGGCCCUGCCGUUUAAAAGGUUCGUCACCUUGUUUAGUCGCAUUGGGAGCAUGCCAGGCAUGAACUCGUGGGCACAUGUCAGAAAAUGCGGACGAUACCUUUCGCAGUAGAGCUUUUGAGAUUUUAAAAAGAGGGCCCAAAGAUAAGUUAGUGGAAGAUAUUUUAAGAAUAUUAGAGAUAAGAGGAAAUAGCCGGUCGUUUCAUCAGGAUAGUAGGCUUAGAAGGCCCUGAUGUAGUAGGUAUCCCUUUAGGAGAGGUGGCCGAGUGGUUUAUGCGCUCGCUUGGAAAGCGUGUUCACAGUAAUGUGUCUAUGUUUCGAAUCCCUUCCUCUCCGCCUCCACGGUAGGGGGUGAGGAGGCCAGUAACACUGCAUUUUAAUUUCGUCCAUACUCCGAUGUUCCAUCACAGGAGAAGGGAGUAGACCCGCGGACUUGUCUAUAGCCACGGCUUUCUCCGAAUGCUGCCCUGAUAUGGUAGACACGUUUCGUUACCUUCACCCUACCCGCCGCGACCUUUCUUAUUUGUAUAAAAACAGGUGUGUCGGGAGGGUCACAAAGAGUGUAAAAACAGGUGUGUCGGGAGGGUCACAAACCUCGCCCCCUUCAUUGCUUCCGCUACCAUUCCAGUGUGUACUUGGACGGACCACCGCCUGGCUAUUAUUACUUUAUUACCUCGACUUGUGAGAGCGCGUGGUCCAGGGCUUCCACGGUUGCAAACGCAUUUUUUAGAUUUUCCUGACUUGGAGGGAAGGUUUUUGCAAUGGAUUUAUGAUGAGUGUGCGCAGAGGCCCGCUAAGACAGACACAGCAGCUUUGCUAGACUGGUGGCCGUUGUGUAAGCAUCGUAUGUUCAAUCAAGUAAUGAUUCUUUAUCGGCACGCGCGAGAACGUUGUUUCCCCCCGGGGUGGUGAGUACGUUUGGCGACGGGAAAUGCAAGAAAGGCUGUGGAAGCAGUGCAGACCGGACAUACGGGUGCACAGAGGAUCCAAGCGGCAAUUGACGCCCGGGUAGCGGUUGUACAAGCGGUUAGAGCUGAAGGUGCAGCGGAGGUGGCGCAGGUUUGGUUACAGUGGAUUCGUGUGGGUGAACGACCUAAUAGAGGGCUAACAACCCUGGUGUACCCGUCUAAGGCUCUACAAGUUAUUUCAGCGUUGCAAGACAGAACGGGCCGUCUUAUUACACAUACGACGAAGUUGCCACAAAUGGUUGCGAACUUUUGGGGAGAGAUUUGUUCCUCCGCAACCCAUGUGAUUGAAGAGGCUAGAAUGGCUGUUAUAGGGGCGCUGAGGGACCGCCACCUUGUCAUUCCGGAGGUGGAUGCGUGUGAUGUAGGGAGAUCGGAGGUGUCUGACGCUGAAGUGGAAGCGGUUCUCAAAGAAGCGACGCCAGGCAAAGCACCGGUCUACAUGGCAUCCCAAUUGAAUUAUACAAGGUGUGUCGGAACGAGAUUGCACCAAUUCUUGUGGAACUAUACACAACCAUUGGCCAAACCAAAACGCUCCCAGUUGGCUUCUUGCAAAGUUGUUAUCACAGUUAUUUACAAAAAUCGGGGAUCUCCCGCUUCGCCGGGUAGUUAUCGGCCGAUUACAUUGUUGGGCACAGUUUACAGGAUUCUUGGCAAAAUUUUAGCUCAUCGGCUGCGUCCAAUAUUAGGGCGACGUAUCACGCUCGAGCAGUCGGCCUUUCUGCCGGAGCGCUUGAUAGGCGCUAAUGUUCUUUUUUCCUGCAGCAUCUACCGCACCUUAUGGCCAGGACAGGCCAGUCGUGUCUCCUGACUUUUUUGGAUAUUGCUAAAGCUUACCACUCUUUAGAUCGUACUUCUUUGUUUGAAGCAAUAAUGCUAUGGGGGCAGGAACAGGUUUAAUUAGUUGGGCCAGGCUUCAUUUAUCCGAUACAGCGUCGAAGGCGGUAGAUAAUGGCUUCAUUUCUCGUGAAGUUGCUCUUACAGCGGGUGUGCGGCAGGGAUGUCCAUUGGCACCGAUCCUAUACUUGUUUGCCGCGCAGGCGUUUCUAUGCUGGUCACAGCACAACCUAGUGGGGAUUCCCCUACCCCAAAUAAAUACAGAAAAGCUUACAGCGUUACAUUUGCUGAUGAUACGGAAGAGGGAAUGGAGGCAAUUCCAGCUUUUUGGGCGAGGCCCCCGGCGCGAAGCGCCAUUCGGGGGGCCGAGCCCCCCGGGUUCACUGCUGUCAAUCAGUCAGUCAGUGGCUUACAUAUCUCGCCCCGCAAAAAAUAGCGUUUAAAUGCUAUAUCUAUUCUACAUCCACCUGCCAAAGGAGAAAUUCCAGAUAAAUCGGAGAGCGACAAAGGUAGCUUUCCAUGGCGGAGUUUGGCGGAGGAGGGCGGGGCCGCCCAGGUCGGGCCGUUGCGCAGGCGGAGGUGCCAGCCCCACAGCGGGCCAUGUCGGCAGCCCCCAUCCGCCGGCCGCCUUGCCGCCCGCGUCCCCGCCGGCGGCGGCGGCCCCUGACCAGCUGAUCCGCCACGGCCGCGGCCGGCCCCCCAGCAGAGGGCGCGGAGGAGGGCGGGGCCGCCCAGGUCGGGCCGUUGCGCAGGCGGAAUUGCCAGCGCCCACAGCGGGCCAUGUCGGCAGCCGCCAUCCGCCGGCUGCCUUGCCGCCCGGCGGCGGCGGCCGCUGACCAGCCGACCCGCCGCGGCUGCAGCCAGGCCCCCAGCUUUCAAUGGCUUCGAGUUUGAUUUCCCUCGCGCCGCAGCCCUUGCCUCUGACGUCGUUGCAUGUCCCUUACAUUAUAGAUUCAUAAGCAAACGGCAUGAUCCUUUAUGGGUUGGUUCGUUCAUGCUCGGCAACUUUAGACCGGACCCAUGGCAACAUUCUAAGCACCUCCCUCCUGGCGUCUCGCUCGUGCCUGUUUGAUUGUUGUCCGUCUUAUUCAUUCAAUCCAAGUUCAAACGAAGUGUGCCUUUGCGUCACACCAUCAGUUUUGCCGCUGCAUUCCGACUUCAAAAUGUGUAAUUGGAACGAUCCCUGAAUGCUUUCUGGCUGGGAGCGGACAACAAUUGGUCCAUGAAGCACAGGCACUUUGACGCGCCUUGAACUGCCAGCCAGCAGAAGGGCCGGCGUCGAAUAGGGCAGUUCCGCCUCAUGGAUUUGGCGCAGCAGCGGCAACACACGUUGCCGCAGUGACACUCCUGCUUUGUGUGUAUGUCAUUCUACGGAUUGCCGCAUCACGAGAAGGCUAACUGUUCAGUCAAUAAUGAUUAUGCUAUGGCGGCUGCACGCUUGCGACAAUCCAGACAGGUCUACACCGCUGUCGCAAGUCUGCCGACCUUUAUUGUUUGAGGAUUUCAAUAACAAGUGUAUACUCCAAACGUGGCGGCGUUCUUGUGCUUGCACUCCUAUGCCGUACGGACUGCCCUGCGAAUCAAACGGGGGUCAUGUGGCUGCACCGGGGCCGAGCCCCUUUUCGGCUUUGAAAAGCCGCCCCCCUAGUCUUGAUUGUAUUCGGGUGUACGUGCAGGCCUCUGGACAGCAGCUUAACCUGGAUAAGGUUGAGCUUUUACCUGUCGGUAACCACCCACACGAAGUUAAAAUAACUCAUGACAUGAAGGUGGUACACAUUGCAGCGGCGCUCAAUUUGCCUUUUACGGAUGUGAGAGACACCACAGUCAUGGACUGGGAUGUGCAAUUGGACAAAGUCUGGGCUCGGUUCCAACGCAUUUCCAUGCUACACCUUUCCAUUUUUGGGCGUGCACAGGCAGCGGCGGCCGAUGGGCUGCAUCGUUUUACGUGGCAUAUCGAGCACGGGGGAAAUCCCCCAGAAGAAACUAAUUAAUAUUGAGGCUAGAGCUGCCAAGCUUAUUGAUAGGAACGUGGGCCCAGCUGCACAUGACAGACGGCUCACUAGGGUUCCUAAACACUUGUUAUAUGGCCAUCCAACUUUGCGCGGUUUUGGGGCAUUAGCAGUUCGAGAACACGUACAACCGCGUUGGGCGUGCCGGGCAGUGCGUUUCGUGAGGGCAAUAAUCCAGCCAGUCUUAAUACGGCCGCCAUGGGUCUUGAUCAUGCACUCUUUCCUGCAUGCCCUUUGCCCGACAUACAGUCCCAUGUGUUUAUUUACGUCCCAGGUGGGAGUGCCUUGGUUUGGGAUAAUCGUUUUACCGACAGAUGUUCAACGCAUUGUCACAGCGUUGGCAUACUUCCCCCCAGUUGAAAAUGUUGAUGUUCAUCUGUUAGUUCCCAAUGCGUGGUGUUGGAAUUUGCCUCUGUGGGAAAACCCUGUUCUUCCGGAAAAGAGAUCGAAUGUCCCGUCAGUUAACAUCCACCCAGGACUGGAGUUUCCACACCAAGCACUCCUGGGCUAUAAGCUCUGAAAACGUUGGGGGAUGUUCUUGCGCGAGAUGCUUUCCAUGUGGUUAUGCUCACACCGGAACAGGCAGGCCUAGCAAUGCGCAGGGCGUGGCAUCAAAUAGUAGACCAAUACCUCCAACCG
rnacentral:lncRNA from 1 species